rnacentral:ncRNA from 2 species
UGUGGCUGCAUAGCGCCUGGGCUUGCCUGGAAUUGGGCAAGUUGACGAGGAUUUGGGAAUAUCGAAAUAUCGGCGGAUUUCCCAACGGCAUCACACCGUCAUGGCUUUACAAAACCCUUGAGUGAUCAAGGGGACAAAAGAGGCCUUGUGAAGCU